rnacentral:rRNA from 1 species
UACGUAGGUGGCAAGCGUUGUCCGGAUUUACUGGGCGUAAAGAGCGCGCAGGCGGUCGUUCAAGUCGCGUGUGAAAGCCCCCCGGCUCAACUGGGGAGGGUCACGCGAUACUGGUCGACUCGAAGGCAGGAGAGGGUAGUGGAAUUCCCGGUGUAGUGGUGAAAUGCGUAGAUAUCGGGAGGAACACCAGUGGCGAAGGCGACUACCUGGCCUGUUUCUUGACGCUGAGGCGCGAAAGCUAGGGGAGCAAACGGG